GUGAUUUCUUAUGCCCCGUACUUUGCUCGUUUACGUUUUGUGCUGUGUUCCUUCUUCUUCAAUUAUGGAAUGAUUUAUCCUUGUAAAUUUUUAAGUUACAGGUGCACGCGCAUGUUAAUCGACGGUUGCCAACAUCCCGCAAAACGAUCGACGGAAGGAAAACGGUGUCCGGUUUUAAAAUAUCAAGAUUUCAUCACAGCUCUUUCGUAGAAGAGCGCACUUCAAGGACGCCAGGAUACGGCUAAACAUGCGCAGCACCAGUCCGUGACGUCAUUUCCAGACAGGCGCCGGCUGAACACGCGCAGCACCAGUCGAGGAUAUCCUAGCGCAGAGGGUAGAAGGAAGAACGAGAGGAAGGGUAACGGAACCGCUACAAUUGUAGGGGGUGAAGCAUCCUGCCGUGUACAGAGUGUGAGUCUGCCAAAACGCAUGUGGAAAGAGGAAGUCCAAUGCGAAAGUGGCAAGGCAUGUGAAAGUGUACAUAGAGCAAAAAUAAAAAGUGUCACUACUACAA